AAGGCUAAUCCAUAGCUAACACUCGGAGACCCGGGUUCGAUCCCUGGGUUGGGAAGAUCCCCAGGAGGAGGAAAUGGCAACCCACUUCAGCAUUCUUGCUUGGAGAAUUCCGUGGACAGAGGAGACUGGUGGGCACAGGUCUUGGGGUCGCAAAGAGUUGAACCCGACUGAGCGACUAACACAGACAUAUAUCCUCCCAGGGGCUACGUUUGCGCUAUGUGCCGGGCGCAGCACCCAGAGCACCCACCGGCCCUUCAGGUUCACCCAACAUACAGAAGGGGAAACUGAGGCAAAGGGCUGGUCCCAGAGCUGAGAUUCCAACUCAAGACCACCAAGCCCUGAAUUCUUUAUUCUUUUCUGUUAAUGUCACUCCUCCCUGGCUCUGUGACACCCAGUCACCCCAAAUGCCCUUUCAGAUUCUCCCUCCAGACCUUUGAACUUGGCUGAUGGG
ensembl:lncRNA